rnacentral:rRNA from 1 species
UACGGGGGGGGCAAGCGUUGUUCGGAAUUACUGGGCGUAAAGGGCUUGUAGGUGGCUUGUUAAGUCCGAUGUGAAAUCCCUCAGCUUAACUGGGGAACUGCGUCUGAUACUGGCGAGCUUGAGUGCAGGAGAGGAACGCGGAAUUCCAGGUGUAGCGGUGAAAUGCGUAGAUAUCUGGAGGAACACCGGUGGCGAAGGCGGCGUUCUGGACUGCAACUGACGCUGAGAAACGAAAGCCAGGGUAGCAAACGGG